CACGGUAGCAACCAACAUUGCUAUCCAUGUUGAAUAUUGCUGCUGCAGCAGCCAGGAAUGCUGGGGAUAGAGGUCGGUGAAGACCUUGCUUGCCUGUCGAAUGAACCAACUAAUGAGAAAAUCAAAUAAGCUGUCCAGGGACUGGUUGUGGAAUUUCUGUUGAAACUCAGCUCAAGCUUAAUAAACAUUGAGAGCAGUGAUGUUUUCUUUUAUUGUCGAGAGUGCGGAAGAAAUCUGAAUAAUCAAAUUUCAAGGUUAGAGUUUUCUUUCAAUAUCCAUCUCCACGGUUUUCCAUAUACUUGUGUUUGGAUGCCAUGCCACCUUAAGUUAAGUAUAAUGUAUGUAUAUAUCAUGUUGCAUGGUCCAUCCAGUGACACAUGUGCAAAUAUAAAGUUUCAUCAUGCUACAACGCUUCUUGAGAGAAAAGAACCAGACUGAUUCGGUAU